AAGACGGAUCUAUGGUUCCUUGUAAUGCAAAAUUUUUAAAAAAUAUAAGUUUAACUGGCUUGUAGUCCAAUACUUAUGGUGGUUGGUCCCCGAAUCCCAUGAAAUUUUGAGCCCAGCCAACCAAAUAAUUUUAAGUAAAAAAUUAUUUUGAUAAUUUAUUUAUAAAUAAAUAUUAUAUUUACUGUUGGGUAUAAAAUACCCA
rnacentral:lncRNA from 1 species